AGUGUUAACCGUGUACUAAGGUUUGCAUAUUUAGUAUUUUAACCUAUUGUGAUGUAUUUAUGAUGUGAAUGGAGUGUUAACUAUGAUAUUGAAACGAAAACUCAUUUUU